AUUGAACGCUGGCGGCAGGCCUAACACAUGCAAGUCGAACGGCAGCACAGAAGAGCUUGCUCUUUGGGUGGCGAACGGGUGAGUAAUACAUCGGAACGUACCCUGUUGUGGGGGAUAACUAGUCGAAAGAUUAGCUAAUACCGCAUACGACCUGAGGGUGAAAGUGGGGGACCGCAAGGCCUCACGCAGCAGGAGCGGCCGAUGUCUGAUUAGCUAGUUGGUGGGGUAAAGGCCCACCAAGGCGACGAUCAGUAGCUGGUCUGAGAGGACGACCAGCCAUACUGGGACUGAGACACGGCCCAGACUCCUACGGGAGGCAGCAGUGGGGAAUUUUGGACAAUGGGGGCAACCCUGAUCCAGCAAUGCCGCGUGUGUGAAGAAGGCCUUCGGGUUGUAAAGCACUUUUGUCCGGAAAGAAAUCGCGCUGGUUAAUACCUGGCGUGGAUGACGGUACCGGAAGAAUAAGCACCGGCUAACUACGUGCCAGCAGCCGCGGUAA
rnacentral:rRNA from 1 species